GCAGUCGAGGGGCAUCGGGAGGGAAGCUUGCUUUCCUUGCCGGCGACCGGCGCACGGGUGAGUAACACGUAUGCAACCUGCCCUCUUCAGGGGGACAACCUUCCGAAAGGGAGGCUAAUCCCGCGUAUAUCGGUUUCGGGCAUCCGAGAUCGAGGAAAGAUUCAUCGGAAGAGGAUGGGCAUGCGGCGCAUUAGCUUGACGGCGGGGUAACGGCCCACCGUGGCGACGAUGCGUAGGGGUUCUGAGAGGAAGGUCCCCCACACUGGUACUGAGACACGGACCAGACUCCUACGGGAGGCAGCAGUGAGGAAUAUUGGUCAAUGGGAGAGAUCCUGAACCAGCCAAGCCGCGUGAGGGAAGACGGCCCUAUGGGUUGUAAACCUCUUUUGUCGGAGAACAAAACCCGGGACGUGUCCCGGACUGCGUGUAUCCGAAGAAAAAGCAUCGGCUAACUCCGUGCCAGCAGCCGCGGUAAUACGGAGGAUGCGAGCGUUAUCCGGAUUUAUUGGGUUUAAAGGGUGCGUAGGCGGUCCGUUAAGUCAGCGGUAAAAUUGCGGGGCUCAACCCCGUCGAGCCGUUGAAACUGGCAGACUUGAGUUGGCGAGAAGUACGCGGAAUGCGCGGUGUAGCGGUGAAAUGCAUAGAUAUCGCGCAGAACUCCGAUUGCGAAGGCAGCGUACCGGCGCCACACUGACGCUGAGGCACGAAAGCGUGGGGAUCGAACAGGAUUAGAUACCCUGGUAGUCCACGCAGUAAACGAUGAAUGCUGGUUGUCCGGGUCGAAUGAGAUCUGGGCGGCGAAGCGAAAGCGAUAAGCAUUCCACCUGGGGA
rnacentral:rRNA from 1 species